AGCAAAGUACAAAAGAAAAGUGAAGGAAGAAAGAGAUUCGGAUUGCCAACAUUCAUCUAAAAAAGGCCCCACACGCACGCUUCCAAAUACCCAACCAUUUUCAAUGCCGAAAAGAAAAUUGACUUUUUGAGCAGCUGAAUUCUUCUGGUUGUGGAAGCUUCGUGCAAGAAAUUCCACGAGAAAAUGAAGAAACUUGGAAAGCCUGAAAAAAGCUCACCGCCCAUGUCCAACGCGACCGUCUAUUCUAUAAAUCAAACCUUGUAUCGUUCUUUCCUCAUUCUUCAUCCAAUCUGUCUCCUCUUAGAAGCUGAUUGAUGACCCAAUUCUCCCCUCAUGAGAAAGGGGGCUCUCAUCAAGAUAUCGAAAAGGGCGGUGUCGACGUUCCAGGGCCGUCAGAGAGUCUCAACAUUGCACCACCGUCGUUGGAAUUGAUGAUUACGAUCAUCAGUAUAGUAUGGAUGAUCGUGGCGUUCCUCUUGAAUCUCAACUAUCCAAUCAGUGAUGGCAACAAAGUCCUGAACGCUUUAUACCUUCGGCAUAAGAUGUCCUUCUACUCUAUUGUCAUGAUCAGCGUCGCAGCCUUCUACUCCACGUCCGUGUGGAUGAUGAUGAUAGUGGGUAGAUGCCGGCCCCCCAUAGCCAGAAAUCUCAUCCUCGUUAUCUUGGUUCUUGGAGUACUAGCUUCCACAGUAUUACUGUAUGUCCUGCUACCAGAGAGGUCCAGUUGGAUCGUAUGGUUCUUCUUUGCACUGACCAUCUGGGUCAUGUUGAUUAUGCAAGAGUGUGAGUGGGCCACCCAAUUGAAGGGCAAGAUUUGCAAGCCGGUUGAGGAAGGGUGUAAGUUGGCCACCCGAUGGACCAUAGACAAGAUUCACAGCCUUUAUGGUUAUUGUUUCUGUUGUCUACCUAUUCGCAGUCCCAGUUGUAGAACGAGCCAGACAGUGGUAGUCAUCCUCAUCAUCAUAUUCAUAUGAGAUAUCUAUGCCGACAGAUCGUUUAUACAGAAGAUAUGAAGGAAGGAGGAGGAAAGUGAAGCCAAGGUUGAGCGCAUAUAGAUCAGGUGUGAGGAAGGGUGUGGUGUGUACAAUAUGUGGAGCUUGCAAUUGGAGAGUUCUUAGAUCUAGAAGAGUCAGCUUGCAUCCAUGAAAGAUUGUCAGGGGCAGUGACAUGUCCGUCUUCAUUUUCUAAUGCAUCCAUUGGGAAUAAAACAUAUGGUUACUUGCCUGUAAUCGAAACCAUAGAGCAUCAGAACCAUCAAUUCCAUUCCUGCCCUUCAAUUCUCAAAACAAGAGAAAUCAAAAGAGAAGGCUAAGAUGGUAGUGAUUGAAACCAACAAAACAGCUGGUAUCGGAAAUGCAACAGAAGCAAGCAGUUAGGUCUAGUUUCGGCAGUUGGUGAAUCCUUUUGCAAAGGCAUCUUACAGCGAUGAGAAGUUGAAAGAGAAGAAAAAGGCAGGACAAGAGAAGAUGGAAUUGAAUACAACUGCCAGUGAGGGUAGUGCUAAGGAAGAUACAGUUUCAACGGCUUAAGAAUCCUUUCAGAAAGGCAUCCAACAACCAGGAGAAGUCUCUGUUCGAGUCUCUCAAGAAUAUGAAGAAGGUAGGCUAUGUUAGGAAAAACAAGGGAGGAAAAUAGGAGCGGGCUGCUUUAGCACCUUUGCCACAAAAGAACCAGCCCUGAGAUAGAACAGAUAGCUCCCAGCACUCGAGCUUCAUGCAAUUGUUGAGUUUCUGUUAUUGCCAUGAAGUAACAAAAUGGUGAUAUGAUUGAUAUCAUCGACAUGAAUGAUGGCAUAUAUUUCAAUGGUGAUUAUGUAAAGUUUGCUAUGUUUAUCAACAGUUGUUAGUCAUUCAUUGUAUGGCUGGAAAUCUACUCUUAGAUGUGCUUGGAUGGGUGCAGCUCAUGUAUUGAAAUGCUUGAGAAAUAACAAAGAAAAAUGCUGUCGUCCCAUCA